UACAUCAGUGAUGAAUAUAAUCUUCUGGCAUAGCCCUAAGGCUAUUUACAUGGCAGCGGAAGUCUAUUUAAAUGGCGGCGGAAGUCUUGGCAGUAUGUCCCUCUGGCUGGGCUCCACAACUCACAGGACUGGCAUGAUUACGGCCUAGCACGACGAAACAAAUGAACUACCUACAAAACUGGCAUGACACGCCAGGUCAGUACAUUGAAUGUAUUUGCAAGACAACCAAAUACAUAGCAUCCAAACAAGAAGAAGACAAAGCAAGAACCAAGCGUCUACAACAACCUAUCUCAUAUAAGAAACUAAGCAUGGCAUUAUAUCAACCGAAGACAUAAAUCAAGCUAACCUCAUGGCAUCUACUAGCAUGGCAACAACAUAGCAUAUCAAAUUUACUCCUAACAUGGCAAUAGCAAAGCAUAGCAUAUCAUCUCAAUCAUAUCCAUCAAAACAUGGCAUGGCAUAAAUAAACUAUGCUGAAACUAAACCACCAAUCAUAUCAAAUGCAGACGUAGCAUGUUAACUGUAUGCAACCAUCUCAUGUUCUACCAUGGUUCUUCAAUGCAAACAUAUUACUCAUGCAAUGCAACCAAACUUGUGCACCGAGUCCCUCGGAUUCUCUUACCAACAGUGAUCACCUCAUUUCCUGAUCACCAACAGAGACAAACUCAUGAUCCUUAUGGCAAUCACAACCCGACCAACGACUGGCCCGUGAUCCUUAUGGUGAUCACAACCCGACCAACAAUUGGACCGUGAUCCUUAUGGCGAUCACAACGCGACCACAUCUGGCCCGUGAUCCUUACGGCGAUCACAACCCGAGCACAUCUGGCCCAGCUUAAUUAUUUUAAGUUUAUCCUCCAUUCCGACCAAGACCCGAUAGUGUACCCUACUAAGAACUUAUGCCCAUGACCGAGGACGCGGCUAUCGAUAGUUUAAAUACAAUGUGUAGAGGUAGCGCAUUGUACCCACACUACGGAACCCAUGGCCUCGCACUCCCAUUCGUGUGGACCAACGGCAUUUCGACAAAACCGAUCUACUGUCAUGACACUCUCCCGGCCACUCCGACUCACUCCCCACUGGGCUGGUCAUGGGUGGCCCCGUGUCUACCUACAGACACCUCAACAACCACCGUCGUGGCCCGUCCCACUUUGGGACACGUGCACAAAACUUAACUUAACAACGGGCUCACAAGGUCAUGCUCCGCCUACCUGCUCAGGGUAGCGCGUGCCCAUAACCUUCCCUAGUUGGAGGCACUGACCAGAGGCACGACAAUAGACAAAAUUAAGGUCGUCCCAUACCGGCAAAUGUGGUUGCACUUGGAAAAAGUUCGAUUUGGCGGCACUAUGACUCGAUCCCAUCGAUGAUGGAGGGGUUUUGUUAUUAAGUCAUGCUAUUAUCUUCUCCAUCAUCAAUCAUUAUACCAGCAUUUUAACAUGAAUGCAACAAUGAGCAUACUUCAUACAAAUGCUUUAACAAAACAUCGGGCUUCUCAAGUGAACACUUACAGCAUAAAGAACAUGACAAUACCAAGUACUAACAUAUCCACGGUGCAUUACCAUCAUCAUAUCAUUUUAUAACGAUGACUUGAAAAUAAAUUAGAGUAGUGACAUGGCAUCAUCAAUAACAACAUUCUAAUUAUCAUGGCAAAAGAUAUCAUGAAAAACACAAGCAUGAAUAAUAAGCAUAAUGAAAUAACUGCACACGAAAACGAUAAGAAACAACUGCAACUACACACACACAAGGUGCAAGCAAAGUCAACAGGCAAGUUCGAGGCUCAUGAUAAGAGGUUGUCUUGCCUGGGGGUCGACAAAUACUCCGGGAAGAAGUGGGAAACGAUCGCGGAAAAAUUGCCGGAAACAGUUCUCUCUCGGAGGGGGCUGUUUACGGACAAGGGCAAAGUGGUCAUUUUCACAGUGUCAACCGAUAGUGAAAAUGAUGGAAACGCAACGGGCUCGACGAGACGAAGACGUGGGCGUUGGAUUUACCUCAAACGGAGUUACUGUUAAAAAGAUACGGACGUUUAAAACUCAGGGACUAAUCUGUAAAAAUUCUUCUACAAACAGGUCCCUGGCAGUUUGAAACGGACGUGUCUUUUCGGCAAUAC
rnacentral:lncRNA from 1 species